rnacentral:rRNA from 1 species
GAGUUUGAUCUUGGCUCAGAUUGAACGCUGGCGGCAUGCCUUACACAUGCAAGUCGAACGGCAGCACGGGAGCUUGCUCCUGGUGGCGAGUGGCGAACGGGUGAGUAAUGCAUCGGAACGUAUCCUGGAGUGGGGGAUAACGUAGCGAAAGUUACGCUAAUACCGCAUAUUCUGUGAACAGGAAAGCGGGGGACCUUCGGGCCUCGCGCUCUUGGAGCGGCCGAUGUCGGAUUAGCUAGUUGGUGAGGUAAAGGCUCACCAAGGCGACGAUCCGUAGCAGGUCUGAGAGGAUGAUCUGCCACACUGGAACUGAGACACGGUCCAGACUCCUACGGGAGGCAGCAGUGGGGAAUUUUGGACAAUGGGGGCAACCCUGAUCCAGCCAUGCCGCGUGAGUGAAGAAGGCC